rnacentral:rRNA from 1 species
UGGGGAAUAUUGGACAAUGGGCGCAAGCCUGAUCCAGCAAUGCCGCGUGAGUGAUGAAGGCCUUCGGGUUGUAAAGCUCUUUCGCACGCGACGAUGAUGACGGUAGCGUGAGAAGAAGCCCCGGCUAACUUCGUGCCAGCAGCCGCGGUAAUACGAAGGGGGCUAGCGUUGUUCGGAAUUACUGGGCGUAAAGGGCGCGUAGGCGGUCCCUCAAGUCAGGCGUGAAAGCCCCGGGCUCAACCUGGGAACCGCGCUUGAGACUGAUGGGCUAGAGUUCGGGAGAGGAUGGUGGAAUUCCCAGUGUAGAGGUGAAAUUCGUAGAUAUUGGGAAGAACACCGAUGGCGAAGGCAGCCAUCUGGACCGACACUGACGCUGAGGCGCGAAAGCGUGGGGAGCAAACAGGAUUAGAUACCCUGGUAGUCCACGCCGUAAACGAUGAGUGCUAGACGUCGGGGCUCUUAGAGCUUCGGUGUCGCAGCUAACG